rnacentral:rRNA from 1 species
AACGAACGCUGGCGGCGCGCCUAAUACAUGCAAGUCGAGCGAGAAGGUGUAGCAAUACACUUGUAAAGCGGCGAACGGGUGAGGAAUACAUGGGUAAUCUACCAUCGAGUGGGGAAUAACCAGCCGAAAGGUUGGCUAAUACCGCGUACGCCUCCGGAUCUUCGGGUUCGGAGGGAAAGCCACACUGUGAGUGCGGCGCUCUUUGAUGAGCUCAUGUCCUAUCAGCUUGUUGGUAGGGUAACGGCCUACCAAGGCUUUGACGGGUAGCUGGUCUGAGAGGACGAUCAGCCACACUGGCACUGCGACACGGGCCAGACUCCUACGGGAGGCAGCAGUAAGGAAUAUUGCGCAAUGGGCGAAAGCCUGACGCAGCGACGCCGCGUGGGGGAUGAAGGUCUUCGGAUUGUAAACCCCUUUCGGGAGGGAAGAUGGAGCGAGCAAUCGUUCGGACGGUACCUCAAGAGGCAGCCACGGCCAACUUCGUGCCAGC